rnacentral:rRNA from 1 species
GACACGGUCCAGACACCUACGGGUGGCAGCAGUCGAGAAUUUUUCUCAAUGGGGGAAACCCUGAAGGAGCGACGCCGCGUGGAGGAUGAAGGUCUUCGGAUUGUAAACUCCUGUCAUUUGAGAACAAGUUGCAUCGGUUAACUGCCGAUGCAUUGAUAGUAUCAGAAGAGGAAGAGACGGCUAACUCUGUGCCAGCAGCCGCGGUAAUACAGAGGUCUCAAGCGUUGUUCGGAUUCAUUGGGCGUAAAGGGUGCGUAGGUGGCGUCGUAAGUCAGGUGUGAAAUCUCGGGGCUCAACCCCGAAACUGCACUUGAUACUGCGAUGCUUGAGUACUGGAGAGGAGAUUGGAAUUUACGGUGUAGCAGCAAAAUGCGUAGAUAUCGUAAGGAAGACCAGUGGCGAAGGCGAAUCUCUGGACAGUUACUGACACUGAGGCACGAAGGCCAGGGGAGCAAACGGGAUUAGAUACCCCGGUAGUCCUGGCAGUAAACGGUGCGCGUUUGGUGUGGGAGGAUUCGACCCCUUCUGUGCCGGAGCUAACGCGUUAAACGCGCCGCCUGGGGAGUACGGUCGCAAGAUUAAAACUCAAAGAAAUUGACGGGGGCCCGCACAAGCGGUGGAGUAUGUGGCUUAAUUCGAUCCACGCGAAGAACCUUACCUAGCCUUGACAUGCAUCUCUAAGUCGGUGAAAGCCGGCGACUGUAGCAAUACAGAAUUUGCACAGGUGCUGCAUGGCUGUCGUCAGCUCGUGUCGUGAGAUGUUGGGUUAAGUCCCGCAACGAGCGCAACCCCUGUGAACUGUUGCCACCGGCCUUCGGGUCGAGCACUCUGUUCAGACUGCCCUGUGAAACGGGGAGGAAGGUGGGGAUGACGUCAAGUCAGCAUGGCCCUUACGGCUAGGGCUGCACACGUACUACAAUGCUCAGUACAGAACGAACCGAAACCGCGAGGUGGAGGAAAUCCCAAAAACUGAGCCCAAUUCGGAUUGGAGGCUGCAACUCGCCUCCAUGAAGCCGGAAUCGCUAGUAAUGGCGCAUCAGCUACAGCGCCGUGAAUACGUUCCCGGGCCUUGUACACACCGCCCGUCACAUCAUGGAAGUCACUUGUACCCGAAGUGCAUGCGCCAACCGCAAGGAGGCAGUGCCCUAAGGUAUGGGUGGUAACUGGGAUGAAGUCGAAACAAGGUAGCCGUAGGGGAGCCUGCGGCUG